rnacentral:rRNA from 1 species
CCUACGGGAGGCAGCAGUGAGGAAUAUUGGUCAAUGGACGAGAGUCUGAACCAGCCAAGUAGCGUGAAGGAUGACUGCCCUAUGGGUUGUAAACUUCUUUUAUAAAGGAAUAAAACGAGGCACGUGUGCCUUUUUGCAUGUACUUUAUGAAUAAGGAUCGGCUAACUCCGUGCCAGCAGCCGCGGUAAUACGGAGGAUCCGAGCGUUAUCCGGAUUUAUUGGGUUUAACGGGAGCGUAGAUGGGUUGUUAAGUUAGUUGUGAAAGUUUGGGGCUCAACCGUAAAAUUGCAAUUGAUACUGGCAGUCUUGAGUACAGUUGAGGUAGGCGGAAUUCGUGGUGUAGCGGUGAAAUGCUUAGAUAUCACGAAGAACCCCGAUUGCGAAGGCAGCUUACUAAACUGUGACUGACAUUGAUGCUCGAAAGUGUGGGUAGCAAACAGGAUUAGAUACCCUAGUAGUC